AGCAGUGUGGCUUAGAGGAAAGAGCACUGACUUGGGAGUCGGAGGUUGUGAGUUCUAAUCUUACCUCCGCCA
rnacentral:tRNA from 1 species